AACGCAUAUUGCACUCCCUGGUAUUCCGGGGAGUAUGCCUGUUUGAGUAUCAGUUCAACAAAGACAUUAAAUUUGUUUUUCUUUAUGAGAAACAGGUUUAGUGACUGUUAUUGAGCAUUCUUGAAGCCUUGGCGACAAGUUGCUUAAAAUAAAGUGUACGGCAAAAGCGCUCAUUUGUGCUAUAUUGGCCCUGGUGUAAUAUGUAGCCCUUUUUGGGUCCUACGCUUUUAUUCACCUCGAACUAAUGUAGUGCGCUUGAUAUUAAAGUUUUUGGCCCGUCCUUCUUGAACGUCAAAGAGAAUACCGCAAGGUUUCUUUUUGUGAAUCUUGAUCUCAAAUCAGGUAGGAUUACCCGCUGAACUUAA
rnacentral:misc_RNA from 1 species